rnacentral:rRNA from 1 species
ACACUCCUGCGGGAGGCAGCAGUGGGGAAUAUUGGACAAUGGGCGCAAGCCUGAUCCAGCCAUGCCGCGUGAGUGAUGAAGGCCCUAGGGUUGUAAAGCUCUUUCACCGGUGAAGAUAAUGACGGUAACCGGAGAAGAAGCCCCGGCUAACUUCGUGCCAGCAGCCGCGGUAAUACGAAGGGGGCUAGCGUUGUUCGGAUUUACUGGGCGUAAAGCGCACGUAGGCGGACUAUUAAGUCAGGGGUGAAAUCCCGGGGCUCAACCCCGGAACUGCCUUUGAUACUGGUAGUCUUGAGUUCGAGAGAGGUGAGUGGAAUUCCGAGUGUAGAGGUGAAAUUCGUAGAUAUUCGGAGGAACACCAGUGGCGAAGGCGGCUCACUGGCUCGAUACUGACGCUGAGGUGCGAAAGCGUGGGGAGCAAACAGGAUUAGAAACCCGGGUAGUCCCAU